UACGGAGGGGGCAAGCGUUGUUCGGAAUUACUGGGCGUAAAGGGCGCGUAGGCGGCCGAUCAAGUCAGAUGUGAAAGUCCUGGGCUUAACCUGGGAACUGCAUUUGAUACUGAUUGGCUUGAAUUCGGGAGAGGAUAGCGGAAUUCCCAGUGUAGAGGUGAAAUUCGUAGAUAUUGGGAAGAACACCGGUGGCGAAGGCGGCUAUCUGGACCGACAUUGACGCUGAUGCGCGAAAGCGUGGGGAGCAAACAGG
rnacentral:rRNA from 1 species